GACGAACGCUGGCGGCGUGCUUAACACAUGCAAGUCGAACGGAAAGGCCCUGCUUGCAGGGUACUCGAGUGGCGAACGGGUGAGUAACACGUGGGUGAUCUGCCCUGCACUUCGGGAUAAGCCUGGGAAACUGGGUCUAAUACCGGAUAGGAGCCAUUUUUUGUGUGAUGGUUGGAAAGUUUUUUCGGUGUAGGAUGAGCUCGCGGCCUAUCAGCUUGUUGGUGGGGUAAUGGCCUACCAAGGCGGCGACGGGUAGCCGGCCUGAGAGGGUGGACGGCCACAUUGGGACUGAGAUACGGCCCAGACGCCUACGGGAGGCAGCAGUGGGGAAUAUUGCACAAUGGGCGCAAGCCUGAUGCAGCGACGCCGCGUGGGGGAUGACGGCCUUCGGGUUGUAAACUCCUUUCGCUAGAGACGAAGCUUUUUGUGACGGUACCUAGAUAAGAAGCACCGGCUAACUACGUG
rnacentral:rRNA from 1 species